CACCAGUCCUCUCAGCCAGUCUUGCUUGGAAUAGAGCUUUUGCAACAUGAGGCUGGAGGGGAUGAGAAAUGCUGGCAGCCUGCCUCUCUGGGGGACACUGAGAGCCGAGGGAGGCGGGAGCCCUGUGUUCUUGGCUUCACCUGCCCAGAGUGGAGCUUCCACCACGCCGAGCUGGGACAGGAGAGAGGGCUACUUCCUUUGGGAUCCCUACCUAUAUAAGGAUUAUAUUUGCAACCCCACUGACUUUAGGCUUAGCCUUGUGACUUGCUUCGGCCAACAGAACAAAAAGAAAGCAAAAGCACGGCAGAUUGUGUUUGCCAAAGAUGGACACAGUAACUCCUGUCGACGUGUUCUUUUGGAAACUUGCCACUCUCCCACGCCUUGGCCCUGGGCAACUAUAUGACUGCCUCUGUCAAUACAUUAUGGCAGGAGCGAUGCUCUGUGCCUCCUGAGACCAGAUCAUGAAAAUGCCAUGUACUUGUGCUUUGCUUUCCUGGACACUUUCUCUUGGAUCCCAACGACCAGCCCAAACUAGCCCAUAUGGAGAGACCAUGUGUAGGUGUUCUCUGGCUGACAGCCCAGCUGAGGUUCCCACCAACAGCCAACAUCAAAUGGCCGGACAUGUGAGUGAAGACACCUCCAGAUGACUCCAGCCCCCAACCAUUGAGACACCCUCCAGCCUUCCAGUCUUCCCAGCGGAGGCCCCAGACAUCAGGGAGCCAAGCCACCUCUGCUAGGCCCCGUCUUAACUGCUGACAUGCAGAAUGCACAAUAAAAUGGUUGUUUCAUGCCA